rnacentral:tRNA from 1 species
CCGGGGCUUGGGCUUGGCCUUGGGGGCGGGGGCCGCCUCCGGCGCGGCCUCGGGGGCGGCUUCCGGCGCCGCGUCCUGGGC